GUCUCCGUAGCUCAAUUGGAUAGAGCACCCGCCUUCUAAGCGGGUGGUUGUGGGUUCGAUUCCCGCCGGAGGCACCA
rnacentral:tRNA from 1 species